AGUUUGCCAAUGUUAUCUAUGUACAUUUUGAGCCAAUGGAUAUAACAGGCAACAUUAGGGAAAUGUCGAGUGUCAUUUACAUUUUUGCUAAAUACACAAAAUUCCUCUCAAUUUUUUUUCUGAUUUUAUUUUUCUAUGUCUACUUUUUUAAUUGUAAUCUGUUUUAAGACAGGUCUCUGUUCCCUUUCACCAGUCGAACUUGAACAGGUUGGGAUAAAAACAAGCUAUGCCUUAAACAACUUAUCAUUGGCGACCAGAACUGGACACAGUAUUCCAGAAGAGGCCUCACCAAUGUCCUGUACAACCUCAACAUGAUGUCCCAACUCCUAUACUCAAAGGACUGAGCAAUGAAGACAAGUAUGCUAAAUGCAUUUUUAACCAUCCGGUCUAUUUAUGACACAAACUUCAAAAGAACUUGGACGACUCACAUUCAAAUUAGCUCAAGCGCGCGCGCCCCAACGGCUGUCAAACUGGGCACCGCCCUACUGCGCAGCCUCACUCGUAUCCCGUCUGCCUGG